rnacentral:rRNA from 1 species
GCUCAGUAACACGUGGACAACCUACCCUAAGGAGGGGGAUAACCCCGGGAAACUGGGGAUAAUACCCCAUAGAUUAUGGAUGCUGGAAUGCUCUGUAGUUGAAAGGCCCGCCGCCUUAGGAUGGGUCUGCGGCCGAUUAGGUUGUUGUUGGGGUAACGGCCCAACAAGCCUGUAAUCGGUACGGGUUGUGGGAGCAAGAGCCCGGAGAUGGAUUCUGAGACACGAAUCCAGGCCCUACGGGGCGCAGCAGGCGCGAAAACUUUACAAUGCGGGAAACCGUGAUAAGGGAACUCCGAGUGCCCGUUAAAUCGGGCUGUCCACCAGUUUAAACAACUGGUGAAGAAAGGGCCGGGCAAGACCGGUGCCAGCCGCCGCGGUAAUACCGGCGGCUCGAGUGGUGGCCACUAUUACUGGGCUUAAAGCGUUCGUAGCUGGUCUGUUAAGUCUCUGGGGAAAUCUGCCGGCUUAACCGGCAGGCGUCUCAGGGAUACUGGCAGACUAGGGACCGGGAGAGGUGAGGGGUACUCCAGGGGUAGGAGUGAAAUCCUGUAAUCCUUGGGGGACCACCUGUGGCGAAGGCGCCUCACCAGAACGGCUCCGACAGUGAGGGACGAAAGCUGGGGGAGCAAACCGGAUUAGAUACCCGGGUAGUCCCAGCUGUAAACGAUGCGCGUUAGGUGUAUCGGUGACCACGAGUCACC